GGCCUGGUUGGGUGGUCUUGCCGCAAGGUAAGCACUGCUCCGAUCGGGUCUUUCCUUCUGGGGAACCAGCGUGCUCUUAAUUGGGUGCGUUGGGGAUCCAGGACUUUUACUUUGAAAAAAUUAGAGUGUUUAAAGCAGGCCUACGCUUGAAUACAUUAGCAUGGAAUAACAAAGUAGGACGUGCGGUUCUAUUUUGUUGGUUUCUAGAGUCGCCGUA
rnacentral:rRNA from 1 species